rnacentral:lncRNA from 1 species
CCCUCCAAAACCUCGCCGGAACCCUACCCCUCCCCCGCCGCCGCCAUGAGGGAAAUCCUCCACAUCCAGGGCGGCCAGUGCGGCAACCAGAUCGGGGCCAAGUUCUGGGAGGUGAUCUGCGACGAGCACGGCAUCGACCAGACCGGCAAGUACGCCGGCGACUCCGACCUCCAGCUCGAGCGCAUCAACGUCUACUACAACGAGGCCAGCGGCGGCCGCUUCGUGCCCCGCGCUGUCCUCAUGGACCUCGAGCCGGGGACCAUGGACUCCCUCCGAUCCGGCCCCUACGGCCA